UCAAAACGUAGCUUGGUACGGUGGAUCUAUGUGAACGUUCAUCAGUAUUAUUUCAGGCUCGAGUGGGAGCGCACGUUAUUUUCCUGGAUAAUAUUUUGAAAAAUGAAAAUGUAUAGUAGUUCUAAACAUCUGUUGGACCUGUAAAUUUAAUUAAAACCAUCCUUUAAGAAAGUUUUUAUUUUUGCUGCUACUUUUGAAGCUAAAUUAAAUUGUUGCGAAGUUUUUUUAUAACUCUUUUACCCUAAAGUUUUGUACAAAGUGAAAUAUCGAGGGACAGAUUAAUUUUACAGCUUGUUUUAAAAAAUGGUGUUUACGUACCCUGUGCAUGUAAGAUGAGGACGCGGUGAGCUGUGAGGAUGAGUCGGAACUCGAGUAUAGCCGACUCCAAGUCCAAUGGAGAACUCAGAAUAUUGUUAGUGGUGACCGUUGUCAUCGGUUUACUUCUUAUGUUCUCUCUGCUAAUGUGCUAUGCGUGUGUCCUCAAGAGACUUUGCUGUGGAACGCCUAGAGAACGAGCGAAGCAUGUGGGAUGUGCGAGACGAACCGAGAGCUACCCGAUGGGUGACGUCACACUACUCUCGCAACCGACGGAGAGCGAGCGUGUAUAGUGAAAGCAAUGAAAUACAUGGUAAUCAAAAUAAUGUGACUGCACAACAUUUAUACCACAGUAAUUCAAUCUGAACGUGGGCCGUAUAAUAUAAUUUAUGAACCAUGUUGAGUAAUUGCCCUCGUAUAUAAUCCCGAUAAUAAAGGUGAUUUCUUUAUUUGCUAACGUUGUGUUGGUUCUGCCACAAAGCUAGUCAGUUAUGGUAUUAAUCAAUCUACACCUAAUUUAUACUGCAUUUCAUGAAAGACUGAUUUAGGUAUCUAUUUUUGCCUGUUUUUAUCAGACUAUCAUACAGUUUGUGUAAUAUUGUUUAGAAUUUUUUAUAUUUAAAUUGUCCAGGUAUUAUUUGAAACAGUAAACCAGUACUUACUGGUUUUUAGUCGCCUAACAAGUUGAGUACAUAUUAUUUAAAGAUGCAGUUAUUAGAAUGUCUUAUCAUACGUGUACUAGUCACCAGCUUCUAACUGGAUAGGUAGAAUGGAAGCAUGUAAUGUUGUCAACGAACUGAAAAAUAUAACCUAAUUAAUUUUCUAACUAGUACUUCUUUCUUACUCUUUAAAAUUCCUACUAGAGGAUAAGUUAAGAAGUAGACUAGAUGUAAUAAUAAGUUAUUUUACCAAAGAUGUGUUAUAAAAUCCUUUUUCAAUUACCAAUCAUCUCUCGUCCUUAUCAUACUAUGUACUUUAGUUAUGUAAUGCGUGUAAUUAUUAUAAACAGUAGUCAUUUAGUGAUUUUUUAUAUAAGAAUGUAUCGUGUGGAACAAUAAUUAAUAAACCACUCAAUGUAGUUAA